AGGUGCGAAAGUGUGGGGAGCAAACAGGAUUAGAUACCCUGGUAGUCCACACCGUAAACGAUGAAUGCCAGUCGUCGGGUAGCAUGCUAUUCGGUGACACACCUAACGGAUUAAGCAUUCCGCCUGGGGAGUACGGUCGCAAGAUUAAAACUCAAAGGAAUUGACGGGGGCCCGCACAAGCGGUGGAGCAUGUGGUUUAAUUC
rnacentral:rRNA from 1 species